rnacentral:snRNA from 1 species
GCUGCAGCAGUACAUAUACUAAAAUUUGAAUGAUACAGAGAUUAGCAUGGCUCCUGUGCAAGAUGAGAGGCAAAGCCAUGAAGUAAUCCAUAUUCUU